AUCCAACUGACGAAUCCCAAAUAGGAUGAAACGUAAGUCCUGGCU
rfam:Schistosoma margrebowiei strain Zambia genome assembly, scaffold: SMRZ_scaffold0000039